rnacentral:rRNA from 1 species
UACGGAGGGUGCAAGCGUUAUCCGGAUUUACUGGGUUUAAAGGGUGCGUAGGUGGCGCCGUAAGUCGGGUGUGAAAUUUCGGAGCUUAACUCCGAAACUGCAUUCGAUACUGCGGUGCUUGAGGACUGGAGAGGAGACUGGAAUUCAUGGUGUAGCAGUGAAAUGCGCAGAUAUCAGGAGGAACACCGAUUGCGAAGGCAGCUCGCUGGGACGUUACUGACGCUGAGACGCGAAAGCGUGGGGAGCAAACAGG